rnacentral:miRNA from 1 species
CAUGUGUCCGCCCUCUCCACC